AGUGAACGCUGGCGGUAGGCCUAACACAUGCAAGUCGAACGGCAGCACAGUAAGAGCUUGCUCUUACAGGUGGCGAGUGGCGGACGGGUGAGGAAUACAUCGGAAUCUACUUUUUCGUGGGGGAUAACGUAGGGAAACUUACGCUAAUACCGCAUACGACCUACGGGUGAAAGCAGGGGAUCUUCGGACCUUGCGCGAUUGAAUGAGCCGAUGUCGGAUUAGCUAGUUGGCGGGGUAAAGGCCCACCAAGGCGACGAUCCGUAGCUGGUCUGAGAGGAUGAUCAGCCACACUGGAACUGAGACACGGUCCAGACUCCUACGGGAGGCAGCAGUGGGGAAUAUUGGACAAUGGGCGCAAGCCUGAUCCAGCCAUACCGCGUGGGUGAAGAAGGCCUUCGGGUUGUAAAGCCCUUUUGUUGGGAAAGAAAAGCAGCAGGUUAAUACCCCGCUAUUCUGACGGUACCCAAAGAAUAAGCACCGGCUAACUUCGUG
rnacentral:rRNA from 1 species